AUUAAUCAGCCAGCAGGAAGUGAUGUAAUAUCAAGGGAGCUAUAAAGGGAUGCCCCUAUAUUGCCUCUCAUUCUGUAGUUGGUAUUCAAUGAGGUUGCACUUGUUCCUGUAAAAAGGAAUAGUUUCGUUCAGGAUUUGAAAUUUUCCUAAGUUCUCUGUUUGGUGACAUGUAUAAACAGAGGUAGACUAUAAGGUUCCACCAUUCUUGAUUGAAAAUAGGGAACGUAACAUCAUCUAAUUUCAACCAAAUUUAUAUAUAUUUUUUUGAAGUCUAUCUAGAUAUUAUAUUUAUCGAAUUGAAUAUGUGAUUGGAUGUAAUCAUUGGAUAUUCUAAACCUUUCUAAUCAAUGGUAAUCACUCCUACUAUAAGAACUGAUUCCAAACCCCUGAUGAAGUCCUAACGGACGAAACGCGUUGGGUUUUGCAACGUCUGGUUAACAAAGUCCUUAUCACAAACAUCUGGUUGGAGAUACAUCCAUUUUGAGUUCUGACUGUGAUCACCUGGCUGUAAAAUCCUCACAUCCAACUGUAAUUUAUGUAUAAGAUUGUAAUAUUGUUUUAUAUGAAUUUUUAGAAGGUUGUGUCAAUAACGAACGCUUAGGAUAAAUAUCGUUUGUUUCUGUACAAUAAAAACUUUUAAUUAUUGUCAUACAAAAGGCA